CCGCUCCUUGGCGAAUCCUGCAUAGUGGGUAACCGGCACAAGUGAAUGAACAAGCAAAUCGGCGGGCGAGGCGCUCGUGCAAGGCUCAGCCAGCUUUCCUUCCGGUUCGCGGGAUCCUCACCGGCACUGCUCUUUUGGAAUUCCAAAAGAACCUCUCGGGCCCCUUCGGUGUUGACAUCUCCAACUCAUCAGAUUACGUCAUCCCGAUCAGACGGACUUCCUUCAUGCACUCGGCUUUAAAGGGACACCAAAGGUGCCAGCGUGUGCUAACUUUGGAGGCUACCGUCCACGCCUUUGGAGGGAAAGUACACCGGCUACCUCUACGCGCCUGCCGUCCCAGGAACCAGCUGACUGAGCAGCGGAACGAUGGGAGACGACACGAGCUUCUACUCGCAGCAAGGAGAUCCGAACGACUACGCGUCGAGCGUCUACUCCGUGGAGGACUUUCCGACUUCGGAAACAGCAAUAUGUA